rnacentral:rRNA from 1 species
UACGAAGGGGGCUAGCGUUGUUCGGAAUUACUGGGCGUAAAGCGCACGUAGGCGGAUAUUUAAGUCAGGGGUGAAAUCCCAGAGCUCAACUCUGGAACUGCCUUUGAUACUGGGUAUCUCGAGUAUGGAAGAGGUGAGUGGAAUUCCGAGUGUAGAGGUGAAAUUCGUAGAUAUUCGGAGGAACACCAGUGGCGAAGGCGGCUCACUGGGUCCAUUACUGACGCUGAGGUGCGAAAGCGUGGGGAGCAAACAGG